rnacentral:rRNA from 1 species
AAUCAACGCUGGCGGCGUGCCUCAGACAUGCAAGUCGAACGAUUAAAGCUCCCUUCGGGAAGUGCAUAAAGUGGCGCACGGGUGAGUAACACGUAAGUAAUCUACCCUCGAGUGGGGAAUAACGUUCGGAAACGGACGCUAAUACCGCAUAAUGCAGCGGCAUCGCAAGAUGACAGUUGUUAAAGGAGUAAUUCGCUUGAGGAGGAGCUUGCGGCAGAUUAGCUAGUUGGUAAGGUAACGGCUUACCAAGGCUACGAUCUGUAUCCGGUCUAAGAGGACGGUCGGACACACUGACACUGAAUAACGGGUCAGACUCCUACGGGAGGCAGCAGUCGGGAAUUUUGGGCAAUGGGCGAAAGCCUGACCCAGCAACGCCGCGUGAAGGAUGAAGUAUUUCGGUAUGUAAACUUCGAAAGAAUGGGAAGAAUAAAUGACGGUACCAUUUAUAAGCUCCGGCUAACUACGUGCCAGCCGCCGCCGUAAGAC